AAUCUUGCGCAAUGGGGGAAACCCUGACGCAGCAACGCCGCGUGUGGGAUGGCGGCUUUCGGGUUGUAAACCACUUUCAGUGAUGACGAGAAUGACGGUAAUCACAGAAGAAGGUCCGGCCAACUACGCGCCAGCAGCCGCGGUAACACGUAGGGACCAAGCGUUGUCCGGAUUUAUUGGGCGUAAAGAGCUCGUAGGCGGUUCUGUAAGUCGGAUGUGAAAACUCAGGGCUCAACCCUGAGACGCCAUCCGAUACUGCAGUGACUAGAGUCCGGUAGAGGAAGAUGGAAUUCCUGGUGUAGCGGUGGAAUGCGCAGAUAUCAGGAGGAACACCAAUGGCGAAGGCAGUCUUCUGGGCCGGUACUGACGCUGAGGAGCGAAAGCAUGGGGAGCAAACAGGAUUAGAUACCCUGGUAGUCCAUGCCGUA
rnacentral:rRNA from 1 species